GUUGUGAUUUCAUUAAUCGCUUCGGAGCGCGGGCGGUCGCGGCCGUUAAAUCUUUCACAAGGUUGACCUCGGAUCAGGUAGGG
rnacentral:rRNA from 2 species